GGGGAAUAUUGCGCAAUGGGGGCAACCCUGACGCAGCCAUGCCGCGUGAAUGAAGAAGGCCUUCGGGUUGUAAAGUUCUUUCGGUAGCGAGGAAGGCAUUUAGUUUAAUAGACUAGAUGAUUGACGUUAACUACAGAAGAAGCACCGGCUAACUCCGUGCCAGCAGCCGCGGUAAUACGGAGGGUGCGAGCGUUAAUCGGAAUAACUGGGCGUAAAGGGCACGCAGGCGGACUUUUAAGUGAGGUGUGAAAGCCCCGGGCUUAACCUGGGAAUUGCAUUUCAGACUGGGAGUCUAGAGUACUUUAGGGAGGGGUAGAAUUCCACGUGUAGCGGUGAAAUGCGUAGAGAUGUGGAGGAAUACCGAAGGCGAAGGCAGCCCCUUGGGAAUGUACUGACGCUCAUGUGCGAAAGCGUGGGGAGCAAACAGGAUUAGAUACCCUGGUAGUCCACGCUGUAAACGCUGUCGAUUUGGGGAUUGGGCCUAAUGCUUGGUGCCCGUAGCUAACGUGAUAAAUCGACCGCCUGGGGAGUACGGCCGCAAGGUUA
rnacentral:rRNA from 1 species